ACCAGACUCCUACGGGAGGCAGCAGUGGGGGAUAUUGCACAAUGGGGGGAACCCUGAUGCAGCGACGCCGCGUGGGUGAAGAAGCGCCUCGGCGCGUAAAGCCCUGUCAGCAGGGAAGAAAAUGACGGUACCUGAAGAAGAAGCCCCGGCUAACUACGUGCCAGCAGCCGCGGUAAUACGUAGGGGGCAAGCGUUAUCCGGAUUUACUGGGUGUAAAGGGGGCGCAGACGGCGAUGCAAGCCAGGAGUGAAAGCCCGGGGCCCAACCCCGGGACUGCUCUUGGAACUGCGUGGCUGGAGUGCAGGAGGGGCAGGCGGAAUUCCUGGUGUAGCGGUGAAAUGCGUAGAUAUCAGGAGGAACACCGGUGGCGAAGGCGGCCUGCUGGACUGCAACUGACGUUGAGGCCCGAAAGCGUGGGGAGCAAACAGGAUUAGAUACCCCGGUAACC
rnacentral:rRNA from 1 species